GCGAAACCUUUAACAAUGCACGAAAGUAGUGAUAAGGCAACUCCUUGUGCUUAUCCAAAAGAUAGGCUUUUUAGUAUGUAAUGUAUACUAAGAAUAAGUGAUGGGCAAGACCGGUGCCAGCAGCCGCGGUAAUACCGGCGUCACAAGUGGAGAUCACGAUUACUGGGUCUAAAAGUGUUCGUAGCUGGUCAUAUAAGUCUCUUGUGAAAGUUCUGUAGCUUAAACUCAGAAUUUGCAAAGAGAUA
rnacentral:rRNA from 1 species